CAUCCUUAAAAUUCUGUUCCUCUAGAACCACUCUUGGUACCAAAAUUUGUAUUAGGCAGGGAUCCAUAGAGAGAGAGAAAGAGAGAGAGAGAGAGAGAGAGUCCAAAUAAGCACAGUCAGAAAUGAGAAAGGUGACAUUACAAUUGAUUCAACAGAAAUAGAAAAGAUCCCUAAAAACUAUUAUGAACACUUCUAUGUGGAAAAAAUAGAAAAUCUAGAGGAAACGAAUAAAUUCCUGAAAAUAUA